GGUUACAUGUAAAGAUUGGCUUCUGCUGGCUUUGCUCUUGCAGAAUUCCCACCAAGCCGCUUGCCUGCCUCUGAGUCGCUCAGCAGCCAGCCUCCCUCUUUGGGUAAAGUUCUCAAAGAAAAAGUAAAACAGAAAGAGACAUGAUUUGUGUUGAGUUCUAAACCACAAUAUAUAAAGAGGAACCUCCAAACAAAAUGAAGUGGGAAGGAUGAGUAAACAAGGACACUAAGAACGACACCUGUCUUUAGAGAUCUCAAGCCAGAGUGAGAUGUGAACCGCUGUGUUUUGUUUCCUACGGGACAAGAAACAUGUGUAAACUUGCUGCACGAACCACUCAGAAUCUGACUUGACUCUGCAAUGCCAGGCAACUGGGGUGACUGACAACGGAAUGUCCUCUAUGAAAAACCAGAUGCCUAUUGUGACCAGAUGGUGAAAAUAAGAUUAUAUUACCUUGUAACUCUCUCUUGCGUGCCUGCUUGUACACACACACACACACAUACCCCUCU
rnacentral:lncRNA from 1 species